GGGUCAGCAAGUUGGUCGUGCCACCGGUAUGUACUGGCUUUGCUGAUUCCUCCUUCUUGUAGAACCGUAAUGCCAUUAAGUUGGUGUUGCGGGAAAACAGGACUGUUACUUUGAAAAAAUUAGAGUGUUUAAAGCAGGCUAACGCUUGAAUACAUUAGCAUGGAAUAAUGAAAUAGGACGACGAUCCUAUUUUGUUGGUUUCUAGGAUUGACGUAAUGAU
rnacentral:rRNA from 1 species